rnacentral:SRP_RNA from 1 species
GCCGGGCGUGGUGGCGGGUGCCUGUAAUCCUAGCUACUCGGGAGGCUGAGGCAGGAGAAUCGCUUGAACCUGGGAGGCGCAGGUGGCAGUGAGCCGAGAUGGCGCCACUGCACACCAGCCCAGGUGACAGUGCGAGACUCCGUCUCAA